GGGCCUGUAGCGUAAUGGUUAGCGCAUGUGACUUCGGAUCACAGGGUUGUGGGUUCAAGUCCCACCUGGCUCG